GGGAGUGUGUUUACUCUCUGCCAAGCAGAUGGGACGAGGUGGACGAAGGAACAGUUCCAUCAGGAAUUUGGAUCCGUGGCAGAGAUCCCAAACGUCUGGAAGCGAACAUUUUACAUUGGACGUAGAAAAAUGGAUGUCAUUUGCCUUGAUGAAAGCAGCUCAAUAUCAGGAAUUGGUGAAAGUGAAGUGGACUCAUCUAUGGUAACUUCAGUUUACUAAUUUAUAUUUUUAAAUAAAGUCUUACUAAAAUAUUACUGUUGAAUAUUUGGAUGUUUAGAUAACACUGAUGAUCUUGAUGGAUGUUUGUAGGAUUUCCAACCAAAGAGAUCCAGAAUUUUAGGAAGAUGUACAGACCAAAGUAUAGUGAGGGGCUUAGGUUCAGGCCAGCAUGCUGUGGGAGAUCAGAAAGCGCUGAUCGAGUUCCAGGUUCAGAAAGAUCACUUUACAUAUAUACAUUCAUUCAUUCAGACAGACAGGCAGACCGACAUUACAUGCUGAUCCAAAUUCAGACUCACCAGUUGCAGUGAGAUCCACUAGUGCUGAUAAAUCCUUAAAGGGUUAGUUCACCCCAAAUUAAAAUUUGAUAUGAAUUACAGAUUACAGUAACCAUGGAUGUCCAGCUCCAAAAAAGAGCACUCUCAAAAGCCAUA